rnacentral:lncRNA from 1 species
GGCAUAAGUGAACAGAAGCUCUUUAAAGAUGAACUUGCGGGAACCAGCAGACUGAUGCAAUAUAUCACAGGGACAAAAAGGCCAGACAACAACUUUCUGAGUACAUGGCAUAAAACCAGAUGGGGAGAAAAGAAACUGGUACUUUUUGCCUGACAUGACCUGAGGAAAAUUAUUGGCUAUUAUGCGGCUCUUGCAUGGUUGUUUCAGGCGUAUCAUGUUCUGAAGUGAUUAAAAUGCAACUGGUGACAGCAGGAACCCAAAUGCCCUUCUGAAUUGUGUGCAAAAUGUGACAGUUUUUCUUUCAAUCCAGGACUGCCAAUGAAGGCUCCUCUCUUCCUCGCUGACUACAGGAGCUUGGGGAAUGAAGAAAGUCCUAAAGAGAGGGAGUCACAUCCAUUUUCUUCUGUCUGCUCUUCAACAGACCUUUAUCAUGCUUCUUUUCACAGAGGGUGGAGUGUUUUUGCACUGGGCAUUCAUCCAAACCAAGCCAUUUCAGGUUCAGGCCAGUUGGAGUAGCUGAAUACAGACACAGAGAUGCUACUUAAGGACAAGAUGAAGUAAUGAGAGAGCAGAGGGAGGAGGAGAUGCAAGAGAGAAGACAAGAAUUUGUUAGAAUAUUUAAAGAGCUCGGUCAUAGACAUCAAGUGCAUCUUGUCCUGGUCUUUCAGUUUGAACAUGAGGAUAAAAUAUGGAAUCACCAGGGUCAGAACAGAGCAAGGGCAAAGGAAGCCAAAACUCAUUAUCAGCAACUAAGUUUCCAAAUACUGAAUAGUUUGUCUGUCCUUGUUAGGCCUGUUUUCUAGAUUUAAAAAUAGCCAAGAUUACUCUUCAAUCAACACUUGCAAAUUAUGAUCUGGCAGUGACCUGUGCGGAGCAUUCUGCAUGUCUGUGCUGUUUGGGUGGUCACAGAUUUACGAGUUUUCCUGAAUGCCUCCUGGAUAGCUGGGAGGAAGGCCACGGUUCUUUUAGGCACAUAAAUAAAUGCCAGUUGUGGUAGUGGCA